ACCCUGGUAGUCCACGCCGUAAACGAUGUCAACUAGCCGUUGGGAGCCUUGAGCUCUUAGUGGCGCAGCUAACGCAUUAAGUUGACCGCCUGGGGAGUACGGCCGCAAGGUUAAAACUCAAAUGAAUUGACGGGGGCCCGCACAAGCGGUGUAGCAUGUGGUUUAAUUUGAAGCAACGCGAAGAACCUCCCCAGGCCUUGACAUCCAAUGAACUUUCCAGAGAUGGGUUGGUGCUUUCGGGAACAUUGAGACAGGCGUUGCAAGGCUGUCUUCAGCUCGUGUCGCGAGAUGUUGGGUUAAGUCCCGUAACGAGCGCCACCCUUGUCCUUAGUUACCAGCACGUAAUGGUGGGCACUCUAAGGAGACUGCCGGUGACAAACCGGAGGAAGGUGGGGAAGACGUCAAGUCAUCAUGGCCCUUACGGCCUGGGCUACACACGUGCUACAAUGGUCGGUACAGAGGGUUGCCAAGCCGCGAGGGGGAGCUAAUCCCAGAAAACCGAUCGUAGUCCGGAUCGCAGUCUGCAACUCGAUUGCGUGAAGUCGGAAUCGCUAGUAAUCGCGAAUCAGAAUGUCGCGGUGAACACGUUCCCGGGCCUUGUACACACCGCCCGUCCCCCCACGGGAGUGGGUUGCCCCAGAAGUAGCUAG
rnacentral:rRNA from 1 species